CUUGAAAAGAAAAUAAAUAUGUUAAAAAAUAGUAAGCCCCAUGUGAUUAUGCUCAUGGCAUAAAACCCACAAGUACAUUCACUGUGGUGGCAUAAAAAUAAAAUAAAUAUAUUCCUGUCCUAUAAAAAUAAAAUUGUAAAAAUAAGAUUGUGAUCCUACUAAAGAGUGUAACAUUUAUUAAGGAGGCUCAACAUGAUAAAGGCUAGAUAUUUAUGCUAACACUUAACUAGUUCCACAAAGCUUUGUUGUCUAUUUGAGCUCCACAGAAUUCAAGGAUCAAAGAAAACUAGUAGACGGAGGACAUCCUAAUCACUGUCAGGGUGCUGCCGACAUUCAAAUACACCUCCGCCACCUGCUAGCUACAUCAGAAGAAAUUACAUCAAA
rnacentral:lncRNA from 1 species